rnacentral:pre_miRNA from 14 species
AACUUGUUAAAAUGCAGAUUCAAAUUGAGUAGGUCUGGGGUGGGGCCUGAGAUGCUGCAUUUUUAACAAGCUC